ACGGAGGGUGCGAGCGUUAAUCGGAAUAACUGGGCGUAAAGGGCACGCAGGCGGUGACUUAAGUGAGGUGUGAAAGCCCCGGGCUUAACCUGGGAAUUGCAUUUCAUACUGGGUCGCUAGAGUACUUUAGGGAGGGGUAGAAUUCCACGUGUAGCGGUGAAAUGCGUAGAGAUGUGGAGGAAUACCGAAGGCGAAGGCAGCCCCUUGGGAAUGUACUGACGCUCAUGUGCGAAAGCGUGGGGAGCAAACAG
rnacentral:rRNA from 2 species